rnacentral:sRNA from 1 species
UCCUAGCCCGGAUAGCAGCGGUAUCCUUUUUCAAAUCAUUCAGACGAAGGAAGAAUGGUUUGAAAAAGAUACAAGCGGAUAGCCGGAAUAGCU